rnacentral:rRNA from 1 species
UACGUAGGGUGCGAGCGUUAAUCGGAAUUACUGGGCGUAAAGCGUGCGCAGGCGGUUUUGUAAGCCAGGUGUGAAAUCCCCGGGCUCAACCUGGGAAUGGCAUUUGGGACUGCAAGGCUGGAGUACGGCAGAGGAGACUGGAAUUCCUGGUGGAGCGGUGAAAUGCGUAGAGAUUGGAAAGAACACCGAUGGCGAAGGCACUUUACUGGGCUAUUACUAACACUCAGAGACGAAAGCUAGGGUAGCAAAUGGG